AUUCCAGCUCCAAUAGCGUAUACUAAAGUUGUUGCAGUUAAAAAGCUCGUAGUUGAAUUUCUGGUCUCGGACUUCGGUCUGCCUCAAACGAGGUACGUACCAGUUGUCUGAAUCCAUCCUCGGGGAGAACAUAUGUGUCAUUUGGUUGACGUGUAUGGGAUCCUCGUCAUUUACUGUGAGCAAAAUAGAGUGUUCAAAGCAGGCUUAUGCCGUUGAAUACAUUAGCAUGGAAUAAUAAGAUAAGACCUUGGUCUAUUUUGUUGGCUUGUACUCCAAGGUAAUGAUUAAUAGGGAUAGUUGGGGGUAUUCGUAUUCAAUUGUCAGAGGUGAAAUUCUUGGAUUUAUGGAAGACGAACUACUGCGAAAGCAUUUACCAAGGAUAUUUUCAUUA
rnacentral:rRNA from 1 species